rnacentral:rRNA from 1 species
GAUGAACGCUGGCGGCGUGCCUAAUACAUGCAAGUCGAGCGAACAGAUGAGGAGCUUGCUCCUCUGACGUUAGCGGCGGACGGGUGAGUAACACGUGGAUAACCUACCUAUAAGACUGGGAUAACUUCGGGAAACCGGAGCUAAUACCGGAUAAUAUAUUGAACCGCAUGGUUCAAUAGUGAAAGACGGUUUUGCUGUCACUUAACGAUGGAUCCGCGCCGCAUUAGCUAGUUGGUAAGGUAACGGCUUACCAAGGCAACGAUGCGUAGCCGACCUGAGAGGGUGAUCGGCCACACUGGAACUGAGACACGGUCCAGACUCCUACGGGAGGCAGCAGUAGGGAAUCUUCCGCAAUGGGCGAAAGCCUGACGGAGCAACGCCGCGUGAGUGAUGAAGGUCUUCGGAUCGUAAAACUCUGUUAUUAGGGAAGAACAAAUGUGUAAGUAACUAUGCACGUCUUGACGGUACCUAAUCAGAAAGCCACGGCUAACUACGUG